rnacentral:lncRNA from 1 species
GCUCAUAUCAAGUAUUAACAUCUUUUAUUUUUUCUAGAUUAAAAGCUAUGAAUUUUAGUAUGUCCAAAUAAGAUAAAAAGGUUACUAUAUGUAUAUUUAUCCUGUUCUGUUAAUUUAAAAUGCAAAAUUAAGCAUGGUAGUCCUAAACUUUAGGACAUACAGUAAUGAAAAAUAAAUAUUAUGGCUGAAUGAUAUUCUUAGUAAGUUCAUUUCAAAAGAAUUAAAAUUGUUUUAAUUUUCACAGUGAAAUUGAAACUAUUUUCUUCAUUAGAUAAAAAAUAUUCUGCAGGAGAACCAAGCUUCUAAUUAUUCUAAGGGUCUUGCUCGGUCACCUAGGCUGAGGUGCAGUGGCACAGUGACAGUUCACUAUAACCUUGAACACCUGGGUUCAAGUGAUCUUCCUGCCUUGGCCUUCCAGAGGGCUUGGAUUACAGUAAGACAUACAGCUGUGAGUUUAUAAAAGUCUACAGAUUUUCAUCAAAUAAUGAUAAGAGAAAAAUAGAUAAGCUUUCUUUCUU